GGGCUGCAGUCGAGAAUUUUUCACAAUGGGCGAAAGCCUGAUGGAGCGACGCCGCGUGGGGGAUGAAUGGCUUCGGCCCGUAAACCCCUGUCAUUUGUGACCAAUGCUUAUUGAAGAAUAUUUGAUAAGUUGAUAGUAGCAAAAGAGGAAGGGACGGCUAACUCUGUGCCAGCAGCCGCGGUAAUACAGAGGUCCCAAGCGUUGUUCGGAAUUACUGGGCGUAAAGGGCGCGUAGGCGGUAAUGCAAGUUGCGGGUAAAAUCUCAUGGCUUAACCAUGAACCGCUCGCAAGACUGCGUUGCUAGAGGGCUGUAGGGGGGGUUGGAAUUCUCGGUGUAGCAGUGAAAUGCGUAGAUAUCGAGAGGAACAUCAGUGGCGAAGGCGAACCCCUAAGCAGAUCCAGACGCUGAGGCGCGAAAGCCAAGGUAGCAAACGGGAUUAGAUACCCCAGUAGUC
rnacentral:rRNA from 1 species